rnacentral:misc_RNA from 1 species
GAUGAAGAACGUAGCGAAAUGCGAUACUUGGUGUGAAUUGCAGAAUCCCGUGAACCAUCGAGUCUUUGAACGCAAGUUGCGCCCGAAGCCAUUAGGCCGAGGGCACGCCUGCCUGGGCGUCACACGUCGUUGCCCCCCCCAUCUACUCCUUCGGGAUUGCGGGGGGCGGAUGAUGGCCUCCCGUGCGCCUCGCCGCGCGGUUGGCAUAAAUGCCAAGUCCUCGGCGACGCACGCCACGACAAUCGGUGGUUGCGAAACCUCGGUUGCCCGUCGUGUGCGGUCGUCGCGCAUCGAGGGCUCGAAAAAAUUGCCGAGUUCCGGCUCGGCUUUCAACGCGACCCCAGGUCAGGCGGGGUUACCCGCCGAAUUUAAGCAUAUCAAUAAGCGGAGGA